CUCACACCUGCAGCCAGGCUGCAAGAUUAGCACGCAGAGAACACCUCCCCAGGGAAGAGGGAUUCUCCUCAGUUAAAACUAAAUGAAAUAAAACAACGCCUGAAAACGUGCUGGGAAAUCACCCUGAAAACAAGAAGCACAGCCCCCGAUAAUGGUGAUGGAUGGACAGACAGACGCACCUCCAUCACAGCGCCCAUUCACCCAGCGCCACACAGCAGCCGGUCCAGCAGCAUCCUGGUGCAGAGCUCAACCAGAGAGCAACCAGUUAAUUACCACGCCGUCAUUAAGGCCUUCAAGUGUAUGUUUCAUUAGUGCUGCAUAAUAAAAUAAUUGCAGACAUGGGAAGGGAUUUGCCUUUUUCUUUUCCCCUAUGAGAUUGUCCUACAGAGAAGCAGCAUUGCGUGGAGAGCAUCAGUAAGCACAGGGAUGCGCACUGCGAUGGGCACAGGACUGCCCCUCCAGACUGGUUCAGCCCCUGCAACGCGGUGGCAGAGCUGCACGAAGAGGAGCAGCGCUCAGUUCCAACUCCCAAAGGAUAAAGCCUCACCCAACCGCUCGGGGCUGCGGACCAAAGGCACUGUGAGCAUCUCACCCUGAGAUGGGUGGGGGUGAACCUUCCUCAGGAUCGCCAGCAGUGGGCACAUCCUGAAGCUGUCAGUUUGUAACUUUCCCACUGGAAAACGCGGUUCCAGCGCUUCCAGCCCUGCAGCAGCUCAUGCCACAGCUCUUUGAUAAAUGGAUUGAGAGGUUUGCCUGGUUCUGACGGCUCUGCUGUACACACUGCUGAAAUACAAGGCUGUAAUUCCUCACCGCAGCUCUCACAACAGACAUACUCCCUCCAGCAAGAGCACCUGUCCUCACCGCAAUAGAGACGCACAAAGGGCCAGGUUUGCUUUCUGUGUUACACCAGUGUGAAUCAGGAGUCGGUGCACUGACUUCAAUUCGGAAGCAUCAACCUGAACGAGAGGAAACUGUGGCCCUAAUACCCAGCCUUUAUGCAGUGCCAGAAGCCAUCGGUCUCCUCCCGGCCCCUCUUGUGUGCCUCAGCCCCAGGACAACGCUCCCGCACCCAGCCACCAGACAAGGAGCUGGGAUGGAGCACAUCUACCAUGGACAGCAGCUGUGCAAGGAAACACAUGGCCAAAGCAAUGGUGCACAGCCUAUUUUGAAGCUGUACAGUGACAGGGCGGUGCACCAGGGACUGACCUGGAGUUCUCAGCAUCACUGGUGGGAGCCAUAGACACUGAUGUUUCAUGUCACUGCAAAAAUCUGAUGUUUUCUUCUGUUUGCUGUCAGCCAUCAGCCUGUCUCUAACAUUUCUGCAGCAAGGACCAGCAGCCAAGAGGGGCUCAAGCAGCAGCUGGGAGGCUGCAAUUGCUCCUUCCUCACCGUUUUAACCCAACUUCCCUUCCUGAGGUCCCAUCUGGCUUCUGCCUGCUCCUGGGUUUGGUUCAGCACUG
ensembl:lncRNA